GGUUGACCUCGGAUCAGGUAGGGAUACCCGCUGAACUUAAGCAUAUCAAUAAGCGGAGGAAAAGAAACCAACAGGGAUUGCCUCAGUAACGGCGAGUGAAGCGGCAAGAGCUCAAAUUUGAAAGCUGGCCCCCUCGGGGUCCGCGUUGUAAUUUGCAGAGGAUGCUUCGGGUGCAGCCCCCGUCUAAGUGCCCUGGAACGGGCCGUCAUAGAGGGUGAGAAUCCCGUCUGGGACGGGGUGUCUGCGUCCGUGUGAAGCUCCUUCGACGAGUCGAGUUGUUUGGGAAUGCAGCUCUAAAUGGGUGGUAAAUUUCAUCUAAAGCUAAAUACUGGCCGGAGACCGAUAGCGCACAAGUAGAGUGAUCGAAAGAUGAAAAGCACUUUGAAAAGAGAGUUAAACAGCACGUGAAAUUGUUGAAAGGGAAGCGUUUGCGACCAGACUCGCCCGCGGGGUUCAGCCGGCACUCGUGCCGGUGUACUUCCCCGUGGGCGGGCCAGCGUCGGUUUGGGCGGCCGGUCAAAGGCCCUCGGAAUGUAUCACCUCUCGGGGUGUCUUAUAGCCGAGGGUGCAAUGCGGCCUGCCCGGACCGAGGAACGCGCUUCGGCUCGGACGCUGGCGUAAUGGUCGUAAAUGACC
rnacentral:rRNA from 2 species